rnacentral:rRNA from 1 species
CGGGCGUGCCUAAUACAUGCAAGUCGAACGCAUUGUGGUUGAAAUGAUAUGAAGAACUUGUUCAGAUUUGAUUUUCAACAUUGCAAUGAGUGGCGAACGGGUGAGUAACACGUGGGAAACCUACCUCUUAGCAGGGGAUAACAUUUGGAAACAAAUGCUAAUACCGUAUAAUAAUUAAAACCGCAUGGUUUUAGUUUAAAAGAUGGUCUUGCUAUCACUAAGAGAUGGUCCCGCGGUGUAUUAGUUAGUUGGUGAGGUAAUGGCUCACCAAGACAAUGAUACAUAGCCGAGUUGAGAGACUGACCGGCCACAAUGGGACUGAGACACGGCCCAUACUCCUACGGGAGGCAGCAGUAGGGAAUCUUCCACAAUGGACGAAAGUCUGAUGGAGCAACGCCGCGUGUGUGAUGAAGGGUUUCGGCUCGUAAAACACUGUUGUAAGAGAAGAAUGACAUUGAGAGUAACUGUUCAAUGUGUGACGGUAUCUUACCAGAAAGGAACGGCUAAAUACGUG